AACUAAGGGAAAUCAAACACAAACAAAAACUCUGAAAGAAGCCAGAAGGAGGGGGAAAAAGCUUUACCUAUAGAAGAACAAAGAUAAGAAUUACAUCAGCCUUCUCCUCAGACACCAUGCAAGCAAGAAGAUAGUGGAGUGGAAUAUUUAAACUGCUGAGAAAAAGAAACCUCCAACCUGGAAUUGUGUUCCCUGUGAAAUUAUCCUUCAAAGGUGAAGGGAAAAAAUGACAUUUUCAAACAAACAAAACCUGAGGGACUUUGUUGACAGUAGCCCUGACUUACAGGAAAUGUUAACAGAAGUUCUUUGUUGAGAAGGAAAAUGAUAAAGGUCAUUAACUUGGAUCAGCAUAAAGAAGGGAAUAUCAGUGGAGAAGGCAUAUUGGAGGAGCUCUUCAAAGGCUUUAUCAUAGGUCAAUUCAGUGAGAUACAGUUUCCUUCAAAUGCUGGAGAGAAGGUGUGGGAGGUGAGAUAAAAUGCAUAUGCUGUGUCCAGGGGUUUUAAAAUGGAGCUGGGAGACCAUUAAGGAGGUGGGCCUGGUGUGCAUCUCACUGGUGGAACCAUGAACUUUGAGCUUGGCCAAACCGCAGCCAGUCCAAGACCUCAGCCCCGACUCCAGUACCUUGCUACAGUAAGAGACUUUGCUUGGUGACUGCCUUGGCAACCAAUUAUGUGUAGCCAAGAUUAGCUUUCUGCCUCCAAAGCCAAUCAGAAUCUUUGUAAACAAUGUAUACACGCAUUCCCUUUUGUCUUUAAAAAGCCCUACCUUUUGUUCCCUAAAGGAACAAAAUUUGGGUUGCUACCCGAAUCUAUGCUCUCCGAAUUGCAAUUCUGAGACUCCAAAUAAAUGCUUUUGUUUUAUUUCA